UAGGUGACUUUUGAUCCGAAGAGACCCAUAAGCUACUUGAAACGAAUUGAAAAAUAUGAACCUGGAAACCAAGCCAACCAAAGUUCUAAUAAGCCAGAGUGGACUUUUGGAAGGCAUCAGCAUUCUGGUGCUCUUCAAUUUAAGGAUAGAUUUGGAACUAGCUGAAGAAAUAUAAUCAGCAUCUUCUCAAAGAAAGAGGUGGACUUAAUUGAAAGCUGAAAUUUGUGUUCCCUAAUAUAUUCCUUUGGAAUUAUCAGGCUUAGAAUAGACAAUCACAAGAGACCACAAAACAAAUACAUCCAUACAAUCUGUACACAAGAAUACUGGGAGUCCUGCAGAAAUAGUGAUUGUUUAUUUCAUAUUUCUAAACUUGAAAAAUGGGGCACUGAAUCCCAGAUUAAGCUGGGAUUCAUAAACUAUGAGAUAAAUUGACUGUGUCUACGUA